CUUCCCUCACUCUGGUCAAUCCAUCUGUCACCCACUUCUGUCCAGCUUUAUGUCUCUCCAGCCGUGACGUUCUGACCCUGCCGAGUUGUCCAUAGUUCCGUCCGUUAUAUCUGCCUGUUUCCUAAAUAAACAUUUUAAAACUG